AGUGAACGCUGGCGGUAGGCCUAACACAUGCAAGUCGAACGGCAGCACAGUAAGAGCUUGCUCUUACGGGUGGCGAGUGGCGGACGGGUGAGGAAUACAUCGGAAUCUACUUUUUCGUGGGGGAUAACGUAGGGAAGCUUACGCUAAUACCGCAUACGACCUACGGGUGAUAGCAGGGGAUCUUCGGACCUUGCGCGAUUGAAUGAGCCGAUGUCGGAUUAGCUAGUUGGCGGGGUAAAGGCCCACCAAGGCGACGAUCCGUAGCUGGUCUGAGAGGAUGAUCAGCCACACUGGAACUGAGACACGGUCCAGACUCCUACGGGAGGCAGCAGUGGGGAAUAUUGGACAAUGGGCGCAAGCCUGAUCCAGCCAUACCGCGUGGGUGAAGAAGGCCUUCGGGUUGUAAAGCCCUUUUGUUGGGAAAGAAAAGCAGCAGGUUAAUACCCCGCUGUUCUGACGGUACCCAAAGAAUAAGCACCGGCUAACUUCGUG
rnacentral:rRNA from 1 species